rnacentral:rRNA from 1 species
AUUGAACGCUGGCGGCAGGCCUAACACAUGCAAGUCGAGCGGAUGAAGGGAGCUUGCUCCUGGAUUCAGCGGCGGACGGGGGAGUAAUGCCUAGGAAUCUGCCUGGUAGUGGGGGAUAACGUCCGGAAACGGGCGCUAAUACCGCAUACGUCCUGAGGGAGAAAGUGGGGGAGCUUCGGACCUCACGCUAUCAGAUGAGCCUAGGUCGGAUUAGCUAGUUGGUGGGGUAAAGGCCUACCAAGGCGACGAUCCGUAACUGGUCUGAGAGGAUGAUCAGUCACACUGGAACUGAGACACGGUCCAGACUCCUACGGGAGGGCGCAGUGGGGAAUAUUGGACAAUGGGCGAAAGCCUGAUCCAGCCAUGCCGCGUGUGUUAAGAAGGUCUUCGGAUUGUAAAGCACUUUAAGUUGGGAGGAAGGGCAGUAAGUUAAUACCUUGCUGUUUUGACGUUACCAACAGAAUAAGCACCGGCUAACUUCGUG